GAUGUAUCAGCACUCCUCUUCUCACAAGAGCGACAUUUCAUUCCCUCUAAACCAUGGGGUUUGUUAAGAUUUGGGCAUACUGCUCCUGGAUCUGGUUUUGUGAAGGUGUCAUGUAUAAAUGUUUAGCUAAAAAGGGGGAGAGAAACAGUGUCCUGAAGAUGCACCAGAAGCAAGCAAUAUCUGGUAGCAAGGAGAAGAUGGAUUCAGACACAAAAGUCACUAACUGGGUAUAUCAGUUGUGUCUUGUGAUCUGAGUUAAGAAGACAGUUGUGUCU
rnacentral:lncRNA from 1 species